rnacentral:rRNA from 1 species
AGAUGAACGCUGGCGGCGUGCCUAACACAUGCAAGUCGAACGGAGUUCUUAAGGAAUGCGACUUCGGUCAAAUGACUUUUGAACUUAGUGGCGGACGGGUGAGUAACGCGUGAGCAACCUGCCUUUCAGAGGGGGAUAACAUUUGGAAACAGAUGCUAAUACCGCAUAAGAUUACAGUACCGCAUGAUACAGUGAUCAAAGGAGCAAUCCGCUGAAAGAUGGGCUCGCGUCCGAUUAGAUAGUUGGUGAGGUAACGGCUCACCAAGUCGACGAUCGGUAGCCGGACUGAGAGGUUGAACGGCCACAUUGGGACUGAGACACGGCCCAGACUCCUACGGGAGGCAGCAGUGGGGAAUAUUGCACAAUGGGCGAAAGCCUGAUGCAGCAACGCCGCGUGAGGGAAGACGGUUUUCGGAUUGUAAACCUCUGUUUUCGGUGACGAAUAAAUGACGGUAACCGAGUAGGAAGCCACGGCUAACUACGUGCCAGCAGCCGCGGUAAUACGUAGGUGGCAAGCGUUAUCCGGAAUUACUGGGUGUAAAGGGAGCGCAGGCGGGAUAGCAAGUCAGCUGUGAAAACUAUGGGCUCAACCCAUAAACUGCAGUUGAAACUGUUAUUCUUGAGUGGAGUAGAGGCAAGCGGAAUUCCGAGUGUAGCGGUGAAAUGCGUAGAUAUUCGGAGGAACACCAGUGGCGAAGGCGGCUUGCUGGGCUCUAACUGACGCUGAGGCUCGAAAGUGUGGGGAGCAAACAGGAUUAGAUACCCUGGUAGUCCACACUGUAAACGAUGAUUGCUAGGUGUGGGGGGUCUGACCCCCUCCGUGCCGGAGUUAACGCAAUAAGCAAUCCACCUG